UCAUCGUGCAAAUAAGAAUCACCAAUGAAUUUCCUAGCCACUAUAGUUGGUUUCACAUCAGUAGGGAAAAACGAACUAUAUAUUAACCUUGAUUCAUUUCCAGACUGGUCAAAAAUAACAAAUCUCCGCCGGCAUCCAGGGAUUUGAUUAGGUACAACCUCCCCAGCACACCCAUAAGGAAAAACAGAUAAGUUUUCUUUGAGAUAUGGUUUCACAGCUGGAAGCAAAUUCUGGAAGACAGGGGGCAAACUUUGAGGCAAGCCUUGGGCUCCAUUGCCUUGCUGUGUCUUCAAACCUGGGAUGCAUGGGACUGCAAUCCCUGGCAUCAUCAUGUUUGCAGAAAAUGUGUACGAGCCAGGGUUCACACAUGCUGGCAAACAUCUUGGUUCCACCGGAUCUACUGAUGUGCUCAUGCAGUUGAAAUUUGGUGAUUGCCAAGUACAAUGUGGUGGGAACAGGUUGGCUUUAACCAUAUAACCAAAAGAAUUACCAAGAUUCAAGCUUCAAUAUGCAAUAUUGAAUUAGUUUGCUGCUUCUUUCAUUCAGGAACAAUGGAAGGAAAAAAAAAAAAGGAGAAACUACAAAUUUCCAGCUUGAUACUAUAACACAACUUUAUAAUCAAUCUACGUGACAGGUUUAAGCAA
rnacentral:misc_RNA from 1 species